AAUGUCGAAAAAAUGAACCACUGUUUUAUGCUUUGUGCAACAUCAAUGUAGCAUAUCUUCCGUAAACUAAAAAGUCCUGGUCCAAUUAUUUUGUUGUCUUGAAAUGCAGAAGAUGUUGCUUGCUGAGGAUCCUGGAGAAUCACACCAAAUCUGAACGCUAUUACUAAGGCAAUCAGGUAAAUUCAUAUAUAAGCAAGAGAGCUACGAUCUAGAUCAG
rnacentral:misc_RNA from 1 species